rnacentral:lncRNA from 1 species
GUUGGUGGAAAAAUGGACCACCCCACAAAUGUAAUUAUAGCACCCAAAUCCAUCAGCAAGCUCGAGCUCAUCCUAAGUGAUCGGGCUCUUCCGCUCUCGAGCUCAUCCUAAGUGAUCGGGCUCUUCCGCUCUCGAGCUCAUCCUAAGUGAUCCGGCUCUUCCGCUCUCGAGCUCAUCCUAAGUGAUCGAGCUCUUCCGCUCUCGAGCUCAUAGACCAGAGAGCCGAGACCAGAGAGCCGAGACCAGAAGGCCGAGACCAGAGAGCCGAGACCAGAAGGCCGAGCACAGCAGGCCAAGCCCAU